rnacentral:rRNA from 1 species
UGGGGAAUCUUGGACAAUGGGCGCAAGCCUGAUCCAGCCAUGCCGCGUGAGUGAUGAAGGCCUUAGGGUCGUAAAGCUCUUUCGCCUGUGAAGAUAAUGACGGUAGCAGGUAAAGAAACCCCGGCUAACUCCGUGCCAGCAGCCGCGGUAAUACGGAGGGGGUUAGCGUUGUUCGGAAUUACUGGGCGUAAAGCGCACGUAGGCGGACCAGAAAGUUGGGGGUGAAAUCCCGGGGGCUCAACCCCGGAACUGCCUCCAAAACUAUUGGUCUAGAGUUCGAGAGAGGUGAGUGGAAUUCCAAGUGUAGAGGUGAAAUUCGUAGAUAUUUGGAGGAACACCAGUGGCGAAGGCGGCUCACUGGCUCGAUACUGACGCUGAGGUGCGAAAGUGUGGGGAGCAAACAGGAUUAGAUACCCUGGUAGUCCACGCCGUAAAACGAUGAAUGUUAGCCGUCGGGCAGUAUACUGUUCGGUGGCGCAGCUAACGCAUUAAACAUUCCGCCUGGGGG